CCUACGGGGGGCAGCAGUGGGGAAUAUUGGACAAUGGGGGGAACCCUGAUCCAGCCAUUCCGCGUGUGUGAAGAAGGCCCUCGGGUUGUAAAGCACUUUCAGUGAGGAAGAACGCCUGGUGGUUAAUACCCAUCAGGAAAGACAUCACUCACAGAAGAAGCACCGGCUAACUCCGUGCCAGCAGCCGCGGUAAUACGGAGGGUGCGAGCGUUAAUCGGAAUUACUGGGCGUAAAGCGCGCGUAGGUGGCUUGAUAAGCCGGUUGUGAAAGCCCCGGGCUCAACCUGGGAACGGCAUCCGGAACUGUCAAGCUAGAGUGCAGGAGAGGAAGGUAGAAUUCCCGGUGUAGCGGUGAAAUGCGUAGAGAUCGGGAGGAAUACCAGUGGCGAAGGCGGCCUUCUGGACUGACACUGACACUGAGGUGCGAAAGCGUGGGUAGCAAACAGGAUUAGAUACCCCGGUAGUC
rnacentral:rRNA from 1 species